CCUAGCCCCUUUUCCUCCCCCUCCUCGUGUCGUUGCUCUCUCCCCCACACCCACCCGACGCCACCAUCGUCGCGUUGAUCCCGCGGCCACCGACCUCCCUUUGUCGCACCAAGAUGUCCAGAAGCAUCCUCAUCAUCGUCUCCUUCGUCCUCGACCAGUGAAUCAAGUCGGGAAGGCCCGCACGCUCGCCAUCGAGCUCGUCAUCGCUACGUACAUCAUCGUCGCCGCCGUCGAUUACCGCCACUUUAACCAUCCACGGCCCCACCGACCACUGCGCCGUGACCGCUAUGACGGAGCCACUGAGUCCGCUGCCCCCGCCGAUGAAUACUACUACCCCGAGGGUGCCUACUACUAUGUGACGGACACCGACGACCAGGAGUAGUUAGGAGGCUCCCAGGCAAGAGGCCUUGCCUUUUCGAUCGAUGUUGCUUUUGUGCUAGCCUUCUUAAGCCAAACUUGUUUAACUCAUGUCUGUACUCAAAUAAUGUUGCUUCUGCUGACUCGUUUGUAUUCGAGCUUAUGUAUUCGAGCCCUCGAGGCCCCUGGCUUGUAAUAUAAAGCUUGUAUUAUUUUAAUUUGUGUCUAGAGUUGUGUUGUGA
rnacentral:rRNA from 1 species